GAGGGUGGCAGCCCGCGGGGACACCGACACGGCCUACCCAGCGCUCGCCCGCCUACUCGGGGACGCCCGCCUUCGCUCCUCUCCGGUCCUCCGCUCGGGCACGCGUAUGUUUGGGGUGCACUGCCUGGGACCGGUCUCGGAGGAACCCCUGUCGGCUCCCCGGGCCUGACUGCACAAAGCCGGCGUCCUGGAGCUCCGCCCUGCGUCCCUGUCCCCUCCCCCGCUCGCCCGGUCCCCCCUUCUCGCCCCCGAUCUGUCGGCGCUGCGCUUCCAGCCUCACCCGGGACCCCGGCGCCCGGGUGGAGCUGCGGAGGAGUUACUGCUGGCCGGGGGCCAAGUUCGCAGAGCGGCGCUGUCUCGCUGGUGUUUUGCGUGGACUCCAUCCCUCGCCUUUGUUCGUCGGGUUUCUUCAAGCUCCACUUUCUCAGGGUUCGGAUGGAAGGGCUGCACUUCCUCCGUGACAAUUAAAGGGUUUUGAAUUGGAAGUGAUAUCGGGAAUUAUUAUUACGGCCAGGGUCAUCCCAUGAAGCCCCAUAGGAUCCGGAUGACUCAUAACUUGCUUCUAAAUUAUGGUUUAUACCGAAAAAUGGAAAUAUAUAGGCCUCAUAAGGCCACUGCUGAAGAAAUGACAAAAUACCACAGUGAUGAGUAUAUCAAGUUUCUACGAUCAAUAAGGCCAGAUAACAUGUCAGAGUAUA
rnacentral:lncRNA from 1 species